rnacentral:rRNA from 1 species
CAGCCGCCGCGGGAAUACGUAGGGUGCGUGCGUUAAUCGGAAUUACUGGGCGUAAAGCGUGCGCAGGCGGUUCGUUAAGACAGAUGUGAAAUCCCCGGGCUUAACCUGGGAGCUGCAUUUGUGACUGGCGAGCUAGAGUAUGGCAGAGAGGGGUAGAAUUCCACGUGUAGCAGUGAAAUGCGUAGAGAUGCGGAGGAAUACCGAUGGCGAAGGCAGCCCCCUGGGCCAAUACUGACGCUCAUGCACGAAAGCGUGGGGAGCAAACAGGAUUAGAUACCCGAGUAGUCCCUGUCUCUUAUAC